rnacentral:rRNA from 1 species
UACGGAGGAUGCGAGCGUUAUCCGGAUUUAUUGGGUUUAAAGGGAGCGUAGGCGGGUUGUUAAGUCAGUUGUGAAAGUUUGCGGCUCAACCGUAAAAUUGCAGUUGAUACUGGCAUCCUUGAGUACAGUAGAGGUAGGCGGAAUUCGUGGUGUAGCGGUGAAAUGCUUAGAGAUCAUACAGAACACCGAUUGCGAAGGCAGCUUACCAAACUAUAUCUGACGUUGAGGCACGAAAGCGUGGGUAGCAAACAGG